rnacentral:rRNA from 1 species
GACGAACGCUGGCGGCGUGCCUAAUACAUGCAAGUCGAGCGAAGCGGCGGAUGGGUGAGUCACGCGUGAGUAACCUGCCCUUAAGUCUGGAAUACCCUUUGGAACCAGAUGCUAAUACCGGAUACUAAAGGAUGGACCGGAUAUGCAUUAGCUAGUUGGUAAGGUAACGGCUUACCAAGGCGAUGAUGCAUGUCCGAGUUGAGAGACGGUUCGGCCUCAUUGGAACUGAGACACGGCCCAAACUCCUACGGGAGGCAGCAGUAGGGAAUCUUCCCCAAUGGACGAAAGUCUGAUGGAUCAACGCCGCGUGAGUGAAGAAGGUUUUCGGAUCGUAAAGCUCUGUUGUUGGUGAAGCGGUAAUCAACCAGAAAGACACGGCUAACUCCGUGCCAGCAGCCGCGGUAAUAC